GACAUGUCAGCAUCGUGCCAUGUGGCAAUCCUUGAGAAAGAAUUACAAGAUUACAAGUCCCGCACAAAUGCGGGGGUGUCCGUCAAAGCCUCGUGCCAUGGACUAUACAAAUUGUCAGUUAAUUUCGCCGAACAAACUGAAUGUCGGUCCAGCCACCUGCCACCUAGAUCUCUCCGCAUCCAGUCACCCGACAUCUGUAGAGACAGAUUAGCCAUUGCAAUCAGUCCAGCAUGCGAAACUCAGUCCAUCAACUAGACCUAAUUUUCAACAUCACGGUCACUAGCAUCACCUCAUCCUCCCAAUUGAUGUCGGGGAUCAGCCCAGGUGUCGAAUCCAGGAUCUUUAUUUUUUAACUGCUAAACGCAGUGAUGACUAUAUGUGAGUAUGGUGUUUCGGAGCAGCGGGACAUCAUCCUGCAUCAGCCGUGCAACGAGUGACAGGCCUAAGGUGGGUUAAGAAGUUAAGGAUAAAGCAUUCGUGCUCUGUUUGCCUCCAGAGCCCAGCAACAUAAACGAAACUGCAUUAGCUUACGAUGUGCUAAACGAGGAAUGAAAACCUUAGCAUGUGUUGGCCACAUGACGGGCAAAAGAAAAGGGCAGCCCCAUCCAGUGCUUAUACUUCGCCAUUUGCACUCCCGGUUGGCUCCCAUCUGAUGGGUACUCCUCUGGCAAGACAGUCAGACGCGUAUGGUCCCAGCCGCUCAUCAAACGCUCUCUUAGCGCCGUUAUCAUCGCUCCUUCGGGUAGAGGCCUACUCAACAACUAGUCAACACGCGCCUUUACCCCCAGGACUUCUUGCGGUAUUCCGCUCCAAAUAUUGCACUCCAAGAAGGAAAACAGUCGUAACAUUGAGGUUCCCCAACCCUCCCAUUCCGGGUUGGUCAGGGCAUCGGUUAUCUCCUGCCGUAAAACUGCAUGAGCAAUGGACCCCACUUGCUUUUGAAGGCGGUUCCAGAAACGGAGGAUCUGUUUUACCAUGUAAUACUGUAAGGGGAGUUCAGCCAGCUCCGCAUACAACAGCCUGUGGGAGGGCAGUAUGGGCAGCGAAAUGGCUGAGGCCUACUACCCAGCUGAUAACGAGGAGGUCGAUAGCGUGGCAAGUGAUGAGGUGUACGCGUCGGAGGAGACGGACGAUGAGGAGGUGGCAGGUGUGGAAUAGGCGGUUGCGGCAGAGGUGGAUGAGGAGCGGCGCCUCCUUAGCUUUUGGGUAACAUCCUUGCCUCAACGAUUGCCCCUAGGCCCCGUGAUCCCAAAUAAAAUCAAACACAGGUAAAAUCAGCCAAUCUUUUUGCGAUAGAAUCCAGAUUAAAUUUACCCGGAAACUGCUUGGGACAGUUUUCGGGGUGCCCGAAAAAAUGUCAGUCUGCCAACGAGGCUUUAGGGAGGACCCCGAUAGGUUAUUCAGAGGGCUUCGUUCACAACCAUUUUUUGGAUAACCUGGUGAAGAACCCUGACUAGGAUGUUGGCCGCUCGAUCCCAGCAAGCAAAAGAAGAUACCGGAAGAGGAAACAACGCGACGCAAUAGCUCUGUGAAGGAUCACACGUUUCUGCAUCCAAACAUAGUCAAAAGCUGCUAACAGUUAGCAACACGCAAGCCCAGGCCCAUGGGCAGCUGGCGGACCUGUACAGUACUGUGGCAAAAGCGGAGCUGUACUAUUUCUUUGACUCUCCAGUUGAAAUGCCAGUCAACGCCUUUACAUCCAGCUGACGCUUAUGGGCAUUGCGGUGGAGAUUGACAAGUAGGGUGUCGGCUUCCUUGAAGCCUGAAAAAGGGCGGGGCCCCUCUGAAUCCGUAGAGGCUGGUCGAUUAGCCGCAUAAACAGCAAUUGCUGCUGGGGGGUUUCAACCCUCCCCACACCCUGCAACG
rnacentral:lncRNA from 1 species